rnacentral:rRNA from 1 species
AUACGGAGGGUGCAAGCGUUAAUCGGAAUAACUGGGCGUAAAGCGCGUGUAGGCGGUUUGUUAAGUCAGAUGUGAAAUCCCCGGGCUCAACCUGGGAACUGCAUUUGAAACUGUCUGACUAGAGUCUUGUAGAGGGGGGUAGAAUUCCAGGUGUAGCGGUGGAAUGCGUAGAGAUCUGGAGGAAUACCGGUGGCGAAGGCGGCCCCCUGGACAAAGACUGACGCUCAGGUGCGAAAGCGUGGGGAGC